GCCCCCUUAGCUCAGCGGCCAGAGCACCUGUCUUGUAAACAGGGGGUCGUGGGUUCGACUCCCACAGGGGGCU
rnacentral:tRNA from 1 species